rnacentral:rRNA from 1 species
UUUUAACGGCCGCAGUUAGGAGCUGUGCUAAGGUAGCGUAAUAAAUUGUCCUUUAAAUGAGGAAAUGAAUGAAUGGUUUGACGUAAAAAAUUCUGUCUCCAAAGAAAUUUAGGAAAUUUUUUUCUUAGUAAAAAAUCUAAGAUUUUAUUAAAAGACGAGAAGACCCUUUUGAGCUUGAAUUAUUAAUAUAGUUUAAUAUUAAAAAAGUUUGGUUGGGACAACCUGGGAGUAUAAAUAGCCUCCUUUGAGUAAUAAAAAUCCAAAAAUUUUGAAAAAAGAAAAAGUUACCGCAGGGAUAACAGCGUUAUCUUCUCUGAGAGAACAAAUUGAAGAGAAG